GUAACACGUAGGCAACCUGCCCACAAGACCGGGAUAACAUUCGGAAACGAAUGCUAAGACCGGAUACGCAACUUGGUCGCAUGACUGGGUUGGGAAACACGGCGCAAGCUGUGGCUUGUGGAUGGGCCUGCGGCGCAUUAGCUAGUUGGUGAGGUAACGGCCCACCAAGGCGACGAUGCGUAGCCGACCUGAGAGGGUGAACGGCCACACUGGGACUGAGACACGGCCCAGACUCCUACGGGAGGCAGCAGUAGGGAAUCUUCCACAAUGGGCGAAAGCCUGAUGGAGCAACGCCGCGUGAGUGAGGAAGGCUUUCGGGUCGUAAAGCUCUGUUGCCAGGGAAGAAUAAGGGCCAGUUAACUGCUGGUCCGAUGACGGUACCUGAGAAGAAAGCCCCGGCUAACUACGUGCCAGCAGCCGCGGUAAUACGUAGGGGGCAAGCGUUGUCCGGAAUUAUUGGGCGUAAAGCGCGCGCAGGCGGUUCUUUAAGUCUGGUGUAUAAGUGCGGGGCUCAACCCCGUGAGGCACUGGAAACUGGGGAACUUGAGUGCAGAAGAGGAGAGCGGAAUUCCACGUGUAGCGGUGAAAUGCGUANAGAUGUGGAGGAACACCAGUGGCGAAGGCGGCUCUCUGGACUGUAACUGACGCUGAAGCGCGAAAGCGUGGGGAGCAACAGGAUUAGAUACCCUGGUAGUCCACGCCGUAACGAUGAGUGCUAAGUGUUUGGGGGGAUCGGCCCCCUCNGUGCCGAAGGUUACACAUUAAGCACUCCGGCUGGGGAGUACGCUCGGCAGAGUGAAACUCAAAGGGAUUGACGGGGACCCGCCCAGCAUUGGGAAUAAGUGGGUUAUUUCAAGCCAACGCAAAGAA
rnacentral:rRNA from 1 species